CCUACGGGAGGCAGCAGUGAGGAAUAUUGGUCAAUGGCCGAGAGGCUGAACCAGCCAAGUCGCGUGAGGGAUGAAGGUUCUAUGGAUCGUAAACCUCUUUUAUAAGGGAAUAAAGUGCGGGACGUGUCCCGUUUUGUAUGUACCUUAUGAAUAAGGAUCGGCUAACUCCGUGCCAGCAGCCGCGGUAAUACGGAGGAUCCGAGCGUUAUCCGGAUUUAUUGGGUUUAAAGGGAGCGCAGACGGGUCGUUAAGUCAGCUGUGAAAGUUUGGGGCUCAACCUUAAAAUUGCAGUUGAUACUGGCGUCCUUGAGUGCGGUUGAGGUGUGCGGAAUUCGUGGUGUAGCGGUGAAAUGCUUAGAUAUCACGCAGAACCCCGAUUGCGAAGGCAGCCUGCCAAGCCAUUACUGACGCUGAUGCACGAAAG
rnacentral:rRNA from 1 species